GUCUCUGGUCAUGCCGCCCAAAACAUGCCCGAUCCCGUCCUGAUCUCAGAACUAAUCCCGGGCCGGGCCUGGUGAAUAUUUGGCAUGGGAAACCACCUUAGGAGGACCAUGGGCUGUGAAGGGCA
rnacentral:rRNA from 1 species